AUACAACUGACGAGUCCCAAAUAGGACGAAACGCCUUUUGUCCUGGAU
rfam:Schistosoma mattheei strain Denwood, Zambia genome assembly, scaffold: SMTD_scaffold0016573